UACGUAGGGGGGCGAGCGUUGUCCGGAUUCAUUGGGCGUAAAGAGCUCGUAGGCGGCUUGGCAAGUCGGGUGUGAAAACUUCAGGCUCAACCUGGAGAUGCCACUCGAUACUGCUAUGGCUAGAGUCCGGUAGGGGACCACGGAAUUCCUGGUGUAGCGGUGAAAUGCGCAGAUAUCAGGAGGAACACCGGUGGCGAAGGCGGUGGUCUGGGCCGGCACUGACGCUGAGGAGCGAAAAGCGUGGGGAGCGAACAGG
rnacentral:rRNA from 1 species